rnacentral:rRNA from 1 species
UUUGGGUGGCGGACGGGUGAGUAACGCGUAAAGAACUUGCCUCACAGCUAGGGACAACAUUUGGAAACGAAUGCUAAUACCUGAUAUUAUGAUUAUAUGGCAUCGUAUAAUUAUGAAAGCUAUAUGCGCUGUGAGAGAGCUUUGCGUCCCAUUAGCUAGUUGGAGAGGUAACGGCUCACCAAGGCGAUGAUGGGUAGCCGGCCUGAGAGGGUGAUCGGCCACAAGGGGACUGAGACACGGCCCUUACUCCUACGGGAGGCAGCAGUGGGGAAUAUUGGACAAUGGACCGAGAGUCUGAUCCAGCAAUUCUGUGUGCACGAUGAAGUUUUUCGGAAUGUAAAGUGCUUUCAGUUGGGAAGAAAAAAAUGACGGUACCAACAGAAGAAGUGACGGCUAAAUACGUGCCAGCAGCCGCGGUAAUACGUAUGUCACGAGCGUUAUCCGGAUUUAUUGGGCGUAAAGCGCGUCUAGGUGGUUAUGUAAGUCUGAUGUGAAAAUGCAGGGCUCAACUCUGUAUUGCGUUGGAAACUGUAUAACUAGAGUACUGGAGAGGUAAGCGGAACUACAAGUGUAGAGGUGAAAUUCGUAGAUAUUUGUAGGAAUGCCGAUGGGGAAGCCAGCUUACUGGACAGAUAUUGACGCUGAAGCGCGAAAGCGUGGGUAGCAAACAGGAUUAGAUACCCUGGUAGUCCACGCCGUAAACGAUGAUUACUAGGUGUUGGGGGUCGA